rnacentral:rRNA from 1 species
CCUAUCUCUGGGGGAUAGCCCGCCGAAAGGCGGAUUAAUACCGCAUAACACUGCAGGGUGGCAUCACCUCACAGUUAAAGAAUUUCGGAGAUAGAUGAGCCUGCGUGCCAUUAGCUAGUUGGUGCGGUAACGGCGCACCAAGGCGACGAUGGCUAGGGGAGCUGAGAGGCCGAUCCCCCACACUGGCACUGAGAUACGGGCCAGACUCCUACGGGAGGCAGCAGUAGGGAAUAUUGGGCAAUGGGCGCGAGCCUGACCCAGCCAUGCCGCGUGACGGAUGAAGGCCUUCUGGGUUGUAAACGUCUUUUGCCCGGGAAGAAAAAACUCUUGCGAGAGGAAUCGACGGUACCGGGUGAAUAAGCACCGGCUAACUCCGUGCCAGCAGCCGCGGUAAUACGGAGGGUGCGAGCGUUGUCCGGAUUUAUUGGGUUUAAAGGGUGCGUAGGUGGCCCUGCAAGUCCGUGGUGAAAGCCUGCUGCUCAACAGCAGAACUGCCAUGGAUACUACAGGGCUUGAGUCCAGACGAGGUUGGCGGAAUGGAUGGUGUAGCGGUGAAAUGCAUAGAUACCAUCCAGAACCCCGAUUGCGUAGGCAGCUGACUAGGCUGGUACUGACACUGAGGCACGAAA